GUGGGGAAUCUUAGACAAUGGGCGCAAGCCUGAUCUAGCCAUGCCGCGUGAGUGAUGAAGGCCCUAGGGUUGUAAAGCUCUUUCAGCUGGGAAGAUAAUGACGGUACCAGCAGAAGAAGCCCCGGCUAACUCCGUGCCAGCAGCCGCGGUAAUACGGAGGGGGCUAGCGUUGUUCGGAAUUACUGGGCGUAAAGCGCGCGUAGGCGGACUGAAAAGUUGGGGGUGAAAUCCCGGGGCUCAACCUCGGAACUGCCUUCAAAACUGUCAGUCUGGAGUUCGAGAGAGGUGAGUGGAAUUCCGAGUGUAGAGGUGAAAUUCGUAGAUAUUCGGAGGAACACCAGUGGCGAAGGCGGCUCACUGGCCCAAUACUGACGCUGAGGCGCGAAAGCGUGGGGAGCAAACAGGAUUAGAAACCCUUGUAGUCC
rnacentral:rRNA from 1 species